rnacentral:rRNA from 1 species
AGCGAACGCUGGCGGCAGGCUUAACACAUGCAAGUCGAGCGGGCACUUUCGGGUGUCAGCGGCGGACGGGUGAGUAACGCGUGGGAACGUGCCUUCUGGUUCGGAAUAACUCAGGGAAACUUGAGCUAAUACCGGAUACGCCCUUUUGGGGAAAGGUUUACUGCCGGAAGAUCGGCCCGCGUCUGAUUAGCUAGUUGGUGGGGUAAUGGCCUACCAAGGCGACGAUCAGUAGCUGGUCUGAGAGGAUGAUCAGCCACACUGGGACUGAGACACGGCCCAGACUCCUACGGGAGGCAGCAGUGGGGAAUAUUGGACAAUGGGCGCAAGCCUGAUCCAGCCAUGCCGCGUGAGUGAUGAAGGCCUUAGGGUUGUAAAGCUCUUUUAUCCGGGACGAUAAUGACGGUACCGGAGGAAUAAGCCCCGGCUAACUUCGUG